UGGGGAAUAUUGGACAAUGGGCGAAAGCCUGAUCCAGCAAUGCCGCGUGUGUGAAGAAGGCCUUCGGGUUGUAAAGCACUUUAAGUUGGGAAGAAAAAGCUUCACCUAAUACGUGAAGCCUUGACGGUACCGACAGAAUAAGCACCGGCUAACUCUGUGCCAGCAGCCGCGGUAAUACAGAGGGUGCUAGCGUUAAUCGGAUUUACUGGGCGUAAAGCGUGCGUAGGUGGUUUGAUAAGUCGAUUGUGAAAGCCCCGGGCUUAACCUGGGAAUUGCGGUCGAUACUGUCAGACUCGAAAACGGUAGAGGGAGGUGGAACUCCAGGUGUAGCGGUGAAAUGCGUAGAUAUCUGGAAGAACACCGAUGGCGAAGGCAGCCUCCUGGGCCUGUUUUGACACUGAGGCACGAAAGCGUGGGUAGCAAACAGGAUUAGAUACCCUGGUAGUCCACGCCGUAAACGAUGAGAACUUGACGUUGGUUUGCUUAGCAAAUCGGUGUCGUAGCUAACGCGAUAAGUUCUCCGCCUGGGGAGUACGGCCGCAAGGUUG
rnacentral:rRNA from 1 species